rnacentral:rRNA from 1 species
CUUGCCUUAUAUAAGAGGUCCAGCCUGCCCAGUGACAUUGUUCAACGGCCGCGGUAUCCUAACCGUGCGAAGGUAGCGUAAUCACUUGUUCUUUAAAUGAGGACUAGUAUGAAAGGCAUCACGAGAGUCAUACUGUCUCCUUUAUCUAAUCAGUGAAACUAAUCUCCCCGUGAAGAAGCGGGGAUAAAAAUAUAAGACGAGAAGACCCUAUGGAGCUUUAAACAAAUGAUAUAUACCCUUUUAACUUCAAAUUUCAGAAAAAUCCCUUACCCUGGUAUAAUAACUAAUAGUUUUUGGUUGGGGUGACCACGGAAUAAAAAACAACUUCCACAAUGAAAGAUUUUCCUUCACUAAGUUAAGGACUACAACCCUAUACAUCAAUAAAUUGACAUAAUUGACCCAACAUAUUGAUCAAUGAAC